rfam:Strigamia maritima strain Brora ctg7180001229990, whole genome shotgun sequence.
GGGGAUGUAGCUCAGAUGGUAGAGCGCUCGCUUAGCAUGCGAGAGGUACGGGGAUCGAUGCCCUGCAUCUCCA